UAUUAAAUCUACUCAUUAUACCCUUUUAUUAAUCUUUCUCUCACUCAAUACCCAUCAUCUUCCAUUUCCCAACCUCGCACAACUCUAUGCUUCUACAACUCUCGAGGUCGCGAAACGCCGUCGACCAUAGCAAUGCUGCCGUCGCAAGCAACUACUGAUCACUAUCGAUUAGAUGGCGACAUAAGGCUUGGGGAUGGCAGCAACAGGCAGUGGCGCAACAGGUUGUAUAUGGUUGCUCCUGUUGUAGUGCGAUGGUGUAAGCCUUCAAGCCUAUAUUUGCCAGUGUGAUGCAUUCUUGGUCAUGUUUAAGCUGGAGUUAUUGCUAAUUUAUGUGGCAAUGAUAUGUUUAUAUUAUUUGAUGUGUCAUUUCUUUUUCUUUUUAAGAAAGGUUAUGUUUAACACUGGAGACACGCAUCUACUAUUAUGUGGCAAUGACAAUGUUAAUCUUUGAUCUAAA